rnacentral:lncRNA from 1 species
AGAGUCCCUCCGGCCCAAGGGGUUCCCGAGGCCAUCCAUCUUUGCGCUCCGCCGGAAAGGUGCCGGGACGUCCGCCAAGGACCGGGAGCGUUUCCCCAGCCAGAGGCUCAACCCUCUGGGGAAGGGCCUGAGCGGGGGACCCAGAAGCCGGGCUGGGAGGCCACCGGGGGAGCCAGUUCCCCCCCCCCAACCCAGGCUAGAGAGUCCCUCCGGCCCAAGGGGUUCCCGAGGCCAUCCAUCUUUGCGCUCCGCCGGAAAGGUGCCGGGACGUCCGCCAAGGACCGGGAGCGUUUCCCCAGCCAGAGGCUCAACCCUCUGGGGAAGGGCCUGAGCGGGGGACCCAGAAGCCGGGCUGGGAGGCCACCGGGGCGGCGCUGGGCCAGCCGAGGCGAGGACACCCCCCACCCCCCCCAGGCAGCAGCGGUGGGGUCGAGGGAGGGAGGGAGGGGGCCGGUGUGCUCCNNNNNNNNNNNNNNNNNNNNNNNNNNNNNNNNNNNNNNNNNNNNNNNNNNNNNNNNUCGGCCAGGCGCACGGGGUGCCCCCCCCCCCGGAGAGGACCGGUCGGAGGUGCCCCCGCCCGCCUCCGCCGCCCCUCGAGGAGACCUCCGAGGCGGACCCGGGCGAGGCAGGAGGGGAGGCCGCCGAACGAGGGGCGCCCGCAGGCCGGGAAAAGGCCUGCCCGCCCGCCUGUUCGGGUCCCGGGAGGGGGAAACAGGCCUCCCUCUGCACAUGCUCAGGAGCCCUCUCUCGGCUCCCCGGGCGCUCUUACCGGCGGCGGGCUCAGCGCCGUGGCUGCCGCAUCCCUCCCGCUUCCUCCUCCUCCUCUUCUUCCGGGGCCCGGCCGGGGGGAGGGCCCUGCCUCUGCUCCGCCCACAAAGGGAAGCGACGGCGGCUCCGAAGGGACAGCAAACCUCGCGGCUCCGCCCCGCCGCCCGGAAACGCGAGGCGACGUCACUGCCGGGUCUCCCUCUCUUGUUGGGGCGCUCCCAUCCUUCGGGUGGGAGGCUCUUUGGGACGCGCCCCUCCUCGCGGGGAGGGAGGGAAUCCCCGGCCUGGAAGAAGCUGCAUCGCCCCCCCCCGCCCCCUUUGCAAGGCGGAAGGCUUCGUGAAUGGGCUGGGGGAGGAAUCUAG